rnacentral:lncRNA from 1 species
CCACCCCCCAAGGAUAUAGCCCACCCGUUUUUGGGGCCUUUUUCCGCUGGACGAACUUGGCGCCCCGGCCUUCGGGCGGUUAUUUUUGGGCGCGGCUGUGCCCGCGGCCUAUUUUUGGCACACGGAGGCGCCUCGCAAAGUCUCGCGCCAUUCCGAGUCCGGCGGACGAAGUGGGCCAGCCCCACCCCCCCAGGCUAUAGCCCACCCGUUUUUGUGGGCUUUUUCCGUUGGAUGAACUUGGCGCCCCGGCCUUCGGGCGGUUAUUUUUGGGUACGGCUGUGCCCGCGGCCUAUUUUUGGCAAAUGGAGGCGCCUCGCAAAGCCUCGCGCAAUUCAGAGUCCGGCGGACGAAGUUGGCCAGCCCCACCCCCCAAGGCUAUAGCCCACUCGUUUUUGUGGCCUUUUUCCGCUGGACGAACUUGGCGCCCCAGCCUUCGGGUGGUUAUUUUUGUGCGCGGCUGUACCCACGGCCUAGUUUUGGCACACGGAGGUGCCUCGCAAAGUCUCGCGCCAUUCCGAGUCCGGCGGACGAAGUUGGCCAGCCACACCCCCCAAGGCUAUAGCCCACCCGUUUUUGUGGCCUUUUUCUGAUGGACGAACUUGGCGCCCCGGCCUUCGGGCAGUUAUUUUUGGGCGCGGCUUUGCCCAUGGCCUAUUUUUUGGCACACGGAGGCGCCUUGCAAAGUCUCACGCCAUUCCGAGUCCGGCGGACGAAGUCGGCCAGCCCCACCCCCCAAGGCUAUAGCCCACCCGUUUUUGUGGCCUUUUUCUGCUGGACGAACUUGGCGCCCCGGCCUUCGGGCGGUUAUUUUUGGGUGCGGAUUUGUCCGCGGCCUAUUUUUGGCACACGGAGGCGCCUCGCAAAGUCUCGCGCCAUUCCGAGUCCGGCGAAGGAAGUCGGCCAGCCCCACCCCCCAAGGCUAUAGCCCACCCGUUUUUUUGGGCUUUUUCCGCCGGACGAACUUGGCACCCCGGCCUUCGGGCAGUUAUUUUUGGGCGUGGCUAUGCACGCGGCCUAUUUUUGGCACACGGAGGUGCCUCGCAAAGUCUCGCUCCAUUCCGAGUCCGGCGGACGAAGUUGGCCAGCCCCACCCCCCAAGGCUAUAGCCCACCCGUUUUUGUGGCCUUUUUCCGCUGGACGAACUUGGCGCCCCGGCCUUCAGGUGGUUAUUUUUGUGCGCGGCUGUGCCCACGGCCUAGUUUUGGCACACGGAGGUGCCUCGCAAAGUCUCGCGGCAUUCCGAGUCCGGCGGACGAAGUUGGCCAGCCCCACCCCCCAAGGCUAUAGCCCACCCUUUUUUGUGGCCUUUUUCCGCUGGACGAACUUGGCGCCCCGGCCUUCGUGCGGUUAUUAUUGGGCGCGGCUGUGCCCGCAGCCUAUUUUUGCCACACGGAGGCACCUCGCAAAGUACCGCGCCAUUCCGAGUCCGGCGGACGAAGUGGGCCAGCCCCACACCCCAAGGCUAUAGCCCACCCGUUUUUGUGGCCUUUUUCCGCUGGAUGAACUUGGCGCCCCGGCCUUCGGGAGGUUAUUUUUGGGUGCGGCUGUGCCCGCGCCCUAUUUUUGGCACACGGAGGCGCCUCGCGAAGUCUCGCGCCAUUCCGAGUCCGGCGGACGAAGUUGGCCAACCCCACCCCCCAAGGUUAUAGCCCACCCGUUUUUGUGGCCUUUUUCCGCUGGACGAACUUGGCGCCCCGGCCUUCGGCCGGUUAUUUUUUUGCGCGGCUGUGUCCGCGGCCUAUUUUUGCCACACGGAGGCACCUCGCAAAGUACCGCGCCAUUCCGAGUCCGGCGGACGAAGUGGGCCAGCCCCACACCUCAAGGCUAUAGCCCACCCGUUUUUGUGGCCUUUUUCCGCUGGACGAACUUGGCGCCCCGGCCUUCGGGCGGUUAUUUUUGUGCGCGGCUGCGCCCGCGGCCUAUUUUUGGCACACGGAGGCAUCUCGCAAAGCCUCGCGCCAUUCCGUGUCCGGCGGACGAAGUGGGCCAGCCCCACCCCCCAAGGCUAUAGCCCACCCGUUUUUGUGGGAUUUUUCCGCUGGACGAACUUGGCGCCCCAGCCUUCGGGCGGUUAUUUUUGGCCGCGGCUGUGCUCGCGUCCUAAUUUUGGCACAUGGAGGUGCCUCGCAAAGUCUCACGCCAUUCCGAGUCCGGCGGACGAAGUUGGCCAGCCCCACCCGCCAAGGCUAUAGCCCACCCGUUUUUGUGGGCUUUUUCCGCUGGACGAACUUGGCCCCCCCGCCAUCGGGCGGUUAUUUUUGGACGCGGCUGUGCCGGCGGCCUAUUUUUGGCACACGGAGGUGCCUCGCAAAGUCUCGCGCCAUUCCGAGUCCGGCGGACGAAGUUGGCCAACCCCACCCCCCAAGGCUAUAGCCCACCCGUUUUUGUGGGAUUUUUCCGCUGGACGAACUUGGCGCUCCGGCCUUUGGGCUGUUAUUUUUGGGCGCGGCUGUGUCCGCGACCUAUUUUUGUCACACGGAGGUGACUCGCAAAGUCUCGCACCAUUCCGAGUCCGGCGGACGAAGUUGGCCAACCACACCCCCCAAGGCUAUAGCCCACCCGUUUUUGUGGCCUUUUUCCGCUGGACGAACUUGGCGCCCCGGCCUUCGGGCAGUUAUUUUUGUGAUUGGCUGCGCCGGCGGCCUAUUUUUGGCACACGGAGGCAUCUCGCAAAGCCUCGCGCCAUUCCGUGUCCGGCGGACGAAGUUGUCCAGCCCCACCCCCCAAGGCUAUAGCCCACCCGUUUUUGUGGGAUUUUUCCGCUGGACGAACUUGGCGCCCCCGGCAUCGGGCGGUUAUUUUUGGACGCGGCUGUGCCUGCGGGGUAUUUUUGGCACACGGAGGUGCCUCGCAAAGUCUCGCACCAUUCCGAGUCCGGCGGACGAAGUUGGCCAACCCCACCCCCCAAGGCUAUAGCCCACCCGUUUUUGUGGCCUUUUUCCGCUGGACGAACUUGGCGCCCCGGCCUUCGGCCGGUUAUUUUUUUGCGCGGCUGUGCCCGCGGCCUAUUUUUGCCACACGGAGGCACCUCGCAAAGUACCGCGCCAUUCCGAGUCCGGCGGACGAAGUGGGCCAGCCCCACACCCCAAGGCUAUAGCCCACCCGUUUUUGCGGCCUUUUUCCGCUGGACGAACUUGGCGCCCCGGCCUUCGGGCGGUUAUUUUUGUCCGCGGCUGCGCCCACGGCCUAUUUUUGGCACACGGAGGCAUCUCGCAAAGCCUCGCGCCAUUCCGUGUCCGGCGGACGAAGUGGGCCAGCCCCACCCCCCAAGGCUAUAGCCCACCCGUUUUUGUGGGAUUUUUCCGCUGGACGAACUUGGCGCCCCAGCCUUCGGGCGGUUAUUUUUGGCCGCGGCUGUGCUCGCGUCGUAAUUUUGGCACAUGGAGGUGCCUCGCAAAGUCUCACGCCAUUCCGAGUCCGGCGGACGAAGUUGGCCAGCCCCACCCGCCAAGGCUAUAGCCCACCCGUUUUUGUGGGCUUUUUCCGCUGGACGAACUUGGCCCCCCCGCCAUCGGGCGGUUAUUUUUGGACGCGGCUGUGCCUGCGGCCUAUUUUUAGCACACGGAGGUGCCUCGCAAAGUCUCCCGCCAUUCCGAGUCCGGCGGACGAAGUUGGCCAACCCCACCCCCCAAGGCUAUAGCCCACCCGUUUUUGUGGGAUUUUUCCGCUGGACGAACUUGGCGCUCCGGCCUUCGGGCUGUUAUUUUUGGGCGCGGCUGUGUCCGCGACCUAUUUUUGUCACACGGAGGUGACUCGCAAAGUCUCGCACCAUUCCGAGUCCGGCGGACGAAGUUGGCCAGCCCCACCCCCCAAGGCUAUAGCCCACCCGUUUUUGUGGGCUUUUUCCGCUGGACGAACUUGGCCCCCCCGCCAUCGGGCGGUUAUUUUUGGACGCGGCUGUGCUCGCGGCCUAAUUUUGGCACACGGAAGUACCUCACAAAGUCUGGCGGCAUUCCGAGUCCGGCGGACGAAGUUGGCCAUCCCCACCCCCCAAGGCUAUAGCCCACCCGUUUUUUUGGGCUUUUUCCGCUGGAUGAACUUGGCGCCCCGGCCUUCGUGCGGUGAUUUUUGGGCGCGGCUGUUCCCACGGCCUAUUUUUGGCACACGGAGGUGCCUCACAAAGGUUCGCGCCGUUCCGAGUCCGGCGGACGAAGUCGGCCAGCCCCACCCCCCAAGGCUAUAGCCCACCCGUUUUUGUGGGCUUUUUCCGCUGGACGAACUUGGCGCCCCGGCCUUCGGGCGGUUAUUUUUGGGCACGGCUGUGUCCGCGGCCUAUUUUUGGCACACGGAGGUGCCUCGCAAAGGCUUGCGCAAUUCCAAGUCCGGCGGACGAAGUGGGCCAGCCCCAGCCCCCAAGGCUAUGGUCCACCCGUUUUUUUGGGCUUUUUCCGCUGGACGAACUUGGCGCCACGGCCUUCGGGCGGUUAUUUUUGGGCUCGGCUGUGUCCGCGGCCUAUUUUUGGCACACGGAGGCGCCUUGCAAAGUCUGGCGGCAUUCCGAGUCCGGCGGACGAAGUGGGCCAGCCCCAGCCCCCAAGGCUAUAGCCCACCCGUUUUUGUGGCCUUUUUCCGCUGGACGAACUUGGCGCCCCAGCCUGCGGCCGGUUAUUUUUGGGCACGGCUGUGCCCAUGGCCUAUUUUUGGCACACGGAGGCGCCUUGCAAAGUCUCGCGCCAUUCCGAGUCUGGCGGACGAAGUUGGCCCGCCCCAGCCCCCAAGGCUAUAGCCCACCCAUUUUUGUGGCCUUUUUCCGCUGGACGAACUUGGCGCCCCGGCCUUCAGGAAGUUAUUUUUGGGCGCGGUUUUGUCCGCGGCCUAUUUUUGACACACGGAGGCGCCUCGUAAAGUGUCGCGCCAUUCCGAGUCCGCCGGACGAAGUUGGCCAGCCCUACCCCCCAAGGCUAUAGCCCACCCGUUUUUGUGGGCUUUUUCCGCUGGACGAACUUGGCGCCCCAGCCUUCGGGCGGUUAUUUUUGGGCGCGGCUGUGCCCGCGGCCUAGUUUUGGCACACAGAGGUGCCUCGCAACGUCACGCACCAUUCCGAGUCCGGCGGACGAAGUUGGCCAGCCCCACCCCCCAAGGCUAUAGCCCACCCGUUUUUGUGGCCUUUUUCCGAUGGACGAACUUGCCGCCCCGGCCUUCGGGCGGUUAUUUUUGGGCUCGGCUGUGCCCGCGGCCUAUUUUUGGCACACAGAGGUGCCUCGCAACGUCACGCACCAUUCCGAGUCCGGCGGACGAAGUUGGCCAGCCCCACCCCCCAAGGCUAUAGCCCACCCGUUUUUGUGGCCUUUUUCCGAUGGACGAACUUGCCGCCCCGGCCUUCGGGAGGUUAUUUUUGGGCGUGGCUGUGCCCGUUGCCUAUUUUUGGUACACGGAGGUGACUCGCAAAGUCUCGCGCCAUUCCGAGUCCGGCGGACGAAGUCGGCCAGCCCCACCCCCCAAGGCUAUAGCCCACCCGUUUUUGUGGCCUUUUUCCGCUGGACGAACUUGGCGCCCCGGCCUUCGGGAGGUUAUUUUUGGGUGCGGCUGUGCCCGCGCCCUAUUUUUGGCACACGGAGGCGCCUCGCGAAGUCUCGCGCCAUUCGGAGUNNNNNNNNNNNNNNNNNNNNNNNNNNNNNNNNNNNNNNNNNNNNNNNNNNNNNNNNNNNNNNNNNNNNNNNNNNNNNNNNNNNNNNNNNNNNNNNNNNNNNNNNNNNNNNNNNNNNNNNNNNNNNNNNNNNNNNNNNNNNNNNNNNNGAAGUGCCUCACAAAGUCUCGCGCCAUUCCGAGUCCGGCGGACGAAGUUGGCCAGCCCCACCCCCCAAGGAUAUAGCCCACCCGUUUUUGUGGGCUUUUUCCGCUGGACGAACUUGGCCCCCCCGCCAUCGGGCGGUUAUUUUUGGACGCGGCUGUGCUCGCGGCCUAAUUUUGGCACACGGAAGUACCUCACAAAGUCUGGCGGCAUUCCGAGUCCGGCGGACGAAGUUGGCCAUCCCCACCCCCCAAGGCUAUAGCCCACCCGUUUUUUUGGGCUUUUUCCGCUGGAUGAACUUGGCGCCCCGGCCUUCGGGCGGUGAUUUUUGGGCGCGGCUGUUCCCACGGCCUAUUUUUGGCACACGGAGGUGCCUCACAAAGGUUCGCGCCGUUCCGAGUCCGGCGGACGAAGUCGGCCAGCCCCACCCCCCAAGGCUAUAGCCCACCCGUUUUUGUGGGCUUUUUCCGCUGGACGAACUUGGCGCCCCGGCCUUCGGGCGGUUAUUUUUGGGCACGGCUGUGUCCGCGGCCUAUUUUUGGCACACGGAGGUGCCUCGCAAAGGCUUGCGCAAUUCCAAGUCCGGCGGACGAAGUGGGCCAGCCCCAGCCCCCAAGGCUAUGGUCCACCCGUUUUUUUGGGCUUUUUCCGCUGGACGAACUUGGCGCCACGGCCUUCGGGCGGUUAUUUUUGGGCUCGGCUGUGUCCGCGGCCUAUUUUUGGCACACGGAGGCGCCUUGCAAAGUCUGGCGGCAUUCCGAGUCCGGCGGACGAAGUGGGCCAGCCCCAGCCCCCAAGGCUAUAGCCCACCCGUUUUUGUGGCCUUUUUCCGCUGGACGAACUUGGCGCCCCAGCCUGCGGCCGGUUAUUUUUGGGCACGGCUGUGCCCAUGGCCUAUUUUUGGCACACGGAGGCGCCUUGCAAAGUCUCGCGCCAUUCCGAGUCUGGCGGACGAAGUUGGCCCGCCCCAGCCCCCAAGGCUAUAGCCCACCCAUUUUUGUGGCCUUUUUCCGCUGGACGAACUUGGCGCCCCGGCCUUCAGGAAGUUAUUUUUGGGCGCGGUUUUGUCCGCGGCCUAUUUUUGACACACGGAGGCGCCUCGUAAAGUGUCGCGCCAUUCCGAGUCCGCCGGACGAAGUUGGCCAGCCCUACCCCCCAAGGCUAUAGCCCACCCGUUUUUGUGGGCUUUUUCCGCUGGACGAACUUGGCGCCCCAGCCUUCGGGCGGUUAUUUUGGGCGCGGCUGUGCCCACGGCCUAGUUUUGGCACAUAGAGGUGCCUCGCAACGUCACGCACCAUUCCGAGUCCGGCGGACGAAGUUGGCCAGCCCCNNNNNNNNNNNNNNNNNNNNNNNNNNNNNNNNNNNNNNNNNNNNNNNNNNNNNNNNNNNNNNNNNNNNNNNNNNNNNNNNNNNNNNNNNNNNNNNNNNNNCCCACCCGUUUUUGUGGCCUUUUUCCGAUGGACGAACUUGCCGCCCCGGCCUUCGGGCAGUUAUUUUUGGGCUCGGCUGUGCCCGCGGCCUAUUUUUGGCACACAGAGGUGCCUCGCAACGUCACGCACCAUUCCGAGUCCGGCGGACGAAGUUGGCCAGCCCCACCCCCCAAGGCUAUAGCCCACCCGUUUUUGUGGCCUUUUUCCGAUGGACGAACUUGCCGCCCCGGCCUUCGGGAGGUUAUUUUUGGGCGCGGCUGUGCCCGCGUCCUAUUUUUGGCACACGGAGGUGCCUCGCGAAGUCUCGCGCCAUUCGAAGUACGGCGGACGAAGUAGGCCAGCCCCGUCCCCCAAGGCUAUAGCCCACCCGUUUUUGUGUCCUUUUUCCGCUAGACGAACUUGGCGCCCCGGCCUUCGGGAGGUUAUUUUUGGGCGCGACUGUGCCCGCGGCCUAUUUUUGCCACACGGAGGCACCUCGCAAAGUCUCGCGCCAUUCCGAGUCCGGCGGACGAAGUGGGCCAGCCCCACCCGCCAAGGCUAUAGCCCACCCGUUUUUGUGGGCUUUUUCCGCUGGACGAACUUGGCGCCCCGGCCUUCGGGCGGUUAUUUUUGGGCGCGACUGUGCCCGUUGCCUAGUUUUGGUACACGGAGGUGCCUCGCAAAGUCUCACGCCAUUCCGAGUCCGGCGGAGGAAGUUGGCCAGCCCCACCCCCCAAGGCUAUAGCCCACCCGUUUUUGUGGCCUUUUUCCGCUGGACGAACUUGGCGCCCCGGCCUUCGGGCGGUUAUUUUUGGGCGCGGCUGUUCCCACGGCCUAUUUUUGGUGCACAGAGGUGCCUCGUAUUAUGUCGCGCCAUUCCGAAUCCGGCGGACGAAGUUGGCCAGCCCCAACCCCCAAGGCUAUAGCCCACCUGUUUUUGUGGCGUUUUUCCGCUGGACGAACUUGGCGCCCCGGCCUUCGGGCGGUUAUUUUUGGGCGCGGCUGUGCCCGCGGCCUAGUUUUGGCAUACCGAGGUGCCUCGCAAAGUGUCAUGCCAUUCCGAGUCCGGCGGACGAAGUUCGCCAGCCCCACCCCCCAAGGCUAUAGCCCACCCGUUUUUGUGGCCUUUUUCCGCUGGACGAACUUGGCGCCUUGGCCUUCGGCCGGUUAUUUUUGGGCGCGGCUGUGCCCGCGGUCUAGUUUUGGCAUACGGAGGUGCCUCGCAAAGUCUCAUGCCACUCCGAGUCCGGCGGACGAAGUUGGCCAGCCCCACCCCCCAAGGCUAUAGCCCACCCGUUUUUGUGGCGUUUUUCCGCUGGACGAACAUGGCGCCCCGCCCUUCGGGGGGUUAUUUUUGGACGUGGCUGUGCCCGCGGACUAUUUUUGGCACACGGAGGUGCCUCACAAUGUCACGCGCCAUUCCGAGUCCGGCGGACGAAGUUGGCCAGCCCCACCCCCCAAGGCUAUAGCCCACCCGUUUUUGUGGCCUUUUUCCGCUGGACGAACUUGGCGCCCCGGCCUUCGAGAGGUUAUUUUUGGGCGCGGCUGCGCCCACGACCUAUUUUUGGCACACAGAGGCACCUCGCGAAGUCUCGCGCCAUUCGGAGUACGGCGGACGAAGUAGGCCAGCCCCGCCCCCCAAGGCUAUAGCCCACCCGUUUUUGUGUCCUUUUUCCGCUGGACGAACUUGGCGCCCCGGCCUUCGGGCGGUUAUUUUUGGGCGCGACUGUGCCCGUUGCCUAUUUUUGGUACACGGAGGCGCGUCGCAAAGUCUCGCGCAAUUCUGAGUCCGGCGGACGAAGUUGGCCAGCCCCACCCCCCAAGGCUAUAGCCCACCCGUUUUUGUGGGCUUUUUCCGCGGGACGAACUUUGCGCCCCGGCCUUCGGGAGGUUAUUUUUGGGCGUGGCUGUGUCCGCGCCCUAUUUUUGGCACACGGAGGCACCUCGCGAAGACUCGCGCCAUUCGGAGUACGGCGGAUGAAGUUGGCCAGUCCCGACCCCCAAGGCUAUAGCCCACCCGUUUUUGUGGCCUUUUUCCGCUGGACGAACUUGGCGCCCCGGCCUUCGGGCGGUUAUUUUUGGGCGCGACUGUGCCCGUUGCCUAUUUUUGGUACACGGAGGUGCCUCGCAAAGUCUCGCGCCAUUACGAGUCCGGCAGACGAAGUUGGCCAGCCCCACCCCCCAAGGCUAUAGCCCACCCAGUUUUGUGACCUUUUUCCGCUGGACGAACUUGGCGCCCCAGCCUUGGGGCAGUUAUUUUUGGGCGCGGCUGUGCCCGCGGCCUAGUUUUGGCAUACGGAGGUGCCUCGCAAAGUCUCAUGCCAUUCCGAGUCCGGCGGACGAAGUCGGCCAGCCCCACCCUCCAAGGCUAUAGCCCACCCGUUUUUGUGGCCUUUUUCCGCUGGACGAACAUGGCGCCCCGGCCUUCGGGCCGUUAUUAUUGGGCACGGCUGUGCCCGCAGCCUAGUUUUGGCAUACGGAGGCGCCUCGCAAAGUCUCGCGCCAUUCCGAGUCCUGGGGACGAAGUUGGCCGGCCCCACCGCCCAAGGCUAUAGCCCACCCGUUUUUGUGACCUUUUUCCGCUGGACGAACUUGGUGCCACGGCCUUCAGGCGGUUAUUUUUGGGUGCGACUGUGCCCGUUGCCUAUUUUUGGUACAUGGAGGCGCCUCGCAAAGUCUCGCAACAUUCCGAGUCCGGCGGACGAAGUUGGCCAGCCCCACCCCCCAAGGAUAUAGCCCACCCGUUUUUGGGGCUUUUUUCCGCUGGACGAACUUGGCGCCCCGGCCUUCGGGAGGUUAUUUUUGGGCGCGGCUGUUCCCACGGCCUAUUUUUGGCACACAGAGGCGCCUCGCAAUAUGUCGCGCCAUUCCGAAUCCGGCGGACGAAGUUGGCCAGCCCCACCCCCCAAGGCUAUAGCCCACCCGUUUUUGUGGCCUUUUUCCGCUGGACGAACUUGGCGCCCCGGCCUUCGGGCGGUUAUUUUUGGCCGCGGACCCGCGGCUGUGUCCGCGGCCUAGUUUUGGCAUACAGAGGUGCCUCACAAAGUCUCAUGCCAUUCCGAGUCCGGCGGACGAAGUUGGCCAGCCCCACCCCCCAAGGCUAUAGCCCACCCGUUUUUGUGGCCUUUUUCCGCUGGACGAACUUGGCGCCCCGGCCUUCGGGCGGUUAUUUUUGGACGCGGCUGUGCCCGCAGCCUAGGUUUGGCAUACGGAGGUGCCUCGCAAAGUCUCAUGCCAUUCCGAGUCCGGCGGACGAAGUCGGCCAGCCCCACCCUCCAAGGCUAUAGCCCACCCGUUUUUGUGGCCUUUUUCCGCUGGACGAACAUGGCGCCCCGGCCUUCGGGGGGUUAUUUUUGGGCGCGGCUGUGCCCACGCACUAUUUUUGGCACACGGAGGCGCCUCGCGAAGUCUCGCGCCAUUCGGAGUACGGCGAACGAAGUAGGCCAGCCCCGCCCCCCAAGGAUAUAGCCCACCCGUUUUUGGGGCUUUUUUCCGCUGGACGAACUUGGCGCCCCGGCCUUCGGGAGGUUAUUUUUGGGCGUGGCUGUGCCCGCGCCCUAUUUUUUGCACACGGAGGCACCUCGCUAAGUCUCGCGCCAUUUGGAGUACGGCGGACGAAGUGGGCCAGUCCCGCCCCCCAAGGCUAUAGCCCACCCGUUUUUGUGGCCUUUUUCCGCUGGACGAACUUGGCGCCCCGGCCUUCGGGCGGUUAAUUUUGGGCGCGACUGUGCCCGUUGCCGAUUUUUGGUUCACGGAGGCGCCUUGCAAAGUCUCGCGCCAUUCCGAGUCCGGCGGACGAAGUUGGCCAGCCCCACCCCCCAAGGCUAUAGCCCACCCGUUUUUGUGGCCUUUUUCCGCUGGACGAACUUGGCGCCCCGGCCUUCGGGCGGUUAUUUUUGGGCGCGACUGUGCCCGUUGCCUAUUUUUGGUACACGGAGGUGCCUCGCAAAGUCUCGCGCCAUUACGAGUCCGGCAGACGAAGUUGUCCAGCCCCACCCCCCAAGGCUAUAGCCCACCCAUUUUUGUGACCUUUUUCCGCUGGACGAACUUGGCGCCCCAGCCUUCGGGCAGUUAUUUUUGGGCGCGGCUGUGCCCGCGGCCUAGUUUUGGCAUACGGAGGCGACUCGCAAAGUCUCAUGCCAUUCCGAGUCCGGCGGACGAAGUCGGCCAGCCCCACCCUCCAAGGCUAUAGCCCACCCGUUUUUGUGGCCUUUUUCCGCUGGACGAACAUGGCGCCCCGGCCUUCGGGGGGUUAUUUUUGGGCGCGGCUGUGCCCACGCACUAUUUUUGGCACACGGAGGCGCCUCGCGAAGUCUCGCGCCAUUCAGAGUACGGCGGACGAAGUAGGCCAGCCCCGCCCCCCAAGGCUAUAGCCCACCCGUUUUUGUGGGCUUUUUCCGCUGGACGAACUUGGCGCCCCGGCCUUCGGAAGGUUAUUUUUGGGCGUGGCUGUGCCCGCGCCCUAUUUUUGGCACACGGAGGCACCUCGCUAAGUCUCGCGCCAUUCGGAGUACGGCGGACGAAGUGGGCCAGUCCCGCCCCCCAAGGCUAUAGCCCACCCGUUUUUGUGGCCUUUUUCCGCUGGACGAACUUGGCGCCCCGGCCUUCGGGCGGUUAAUUUUGGGCGCGACUGUGCCCGUUGCCGAUUUUUGGUUCACGGAGGCGCCUUGCAAAGUCUCGCGCCAUUCCGAGUCCGGCGGACGAAGUUGGCCAGCCCCACCCCCCAAGGCUAUAGCCCACCCGUUUUUGUGGCCUUUUUCCGCUGGACGAACUUGGCGCCCCAGCCUUCGGGCAGUUAUUUUUGGGCGCGGCUGUUCCCAUGGCCUAUUUUUCGCACACAGAGGUGCUUCGUAAUAUGUCGCGCCAUUCCGAAUCCGGCGGACGAAGUUGGCCAGCCCCACCCCCCAAGGCUAUAGCCCACCCGUUUUUGUGGCCUUUUUCCGCUGGACGAACUUGGUGCCCCGGCCUUCGGGCGGUUAUUUUUGGGCGCGGCUGUGCCCGUGGCCUAGUUUUAACAUACGGAGGCCACUCGCAAAGUCUCAUGCCAUUCCGAGUCCGGCGGACGAAGUUGGCCAGCCCCACCCCCCAAGGCUAUAGCCCACCCGUUUUUGUGGCCUUUUUCCGCUGGACGAACUUGGCGCCCUGGCCUUCGGGCGGUUAUUUUUGGGCGCGGCUGUGUUCGCGGGCUAUAUUUGGCAAACGGAGUUGCCUCGCAAAGUCUCGCGCCAUUCCGAGUCCUGGGGACGAAGUUGGCCAGCCCCACCGCCCAAGGCUAUAGCCCACCCGUUUUUGUGACCUUUUUCCGCUGGACGAACCUGGCGCCCCGGCCUUGGGGGGUUAUUUUUGGGCGCGGCUGUGCCCACGGCCUAUUUUUGUCACACGGAGGUGCCUUGCAAAGCCUCGCGCCAUUCCAAGUCCGGCGGACGAAGUGGGCCAGCCCCACCCCCCAAGGCUAUAGCCCACCCGUUUUUGUGGCCUUUUUCCGCUGGACGAACUUGGCGCCCCGGCCUUCGGGAGGUUAUUUUUGGGUGCGGCUGCGCCCGUGACCUAUUUUUGGCACACGGAGCGCCUCGCAAGGUCUCGCGCCAUUCCGAGUCCGGCGGACGAAGUGGGCCAGCCCCACCCCCCAAGGCUAUAGCCCACCCGUUUUUGUGCGCUUUUUCCGCUGGACGAACUUGGCGUCCCAGCCUUCGGGCGGUUAUUUUUGGGUGCGGCUUUCCCCGCGUCCUAUUUUUGGCACACGGAGGCACCUCGCAAAGUCUUGCACCAUUCCGAGUCUGGCGGACGAAUUUGGCCAGCCCCACCCCCCAAGGCUAUAGCCCACCCGUUUUUGUGGCCUUUUUCCGCUGGACGAACUUGGCGCCCCAGCCUUCGGUCGGUUAUUUUUUGGCGCGGCUGUGCUCGCGGGCUAUUUUUGGCACACGGAGUUGCCUCGCAAAGUCUCGCGCCAUUCCGAGUCCUGGGGACGAAGUUGGCCAGCCCCACCGCCCAAGGCUAUAGCCCACCCGUUUUUGUGACCUUUUUCCGCUGGACGAACUUGGCGCUCCGGCCUUGGGGGGUUAUUUUUGGGCACGGCUGUGCCCGCAGCCUAUUUUUGUCACACGGAGGCGCAUCGCAAAGUCUCGCACCAUUCCGAGUCCGGCGGAUGAAGUGGGCCAGCCCCAACCCCCAAGGCUAUAGCCGACCCGUUUUUGUGGCCUUUUUCCGCUGGACGAACUUGGCGCCCCGGCCUUCGGGCGGUUAUUUUUGGGCGCGGCUGCACCCGUGACCUAUUUUUGGCACACGGAGCGCCUCGCAAGGUCUCGCGCCAUUCCGAGUCCGGCGGACGAAGUGGGCCAGCCCCACCCCCCAAGGCUAUAGCCAACCUGUUUUUGUGGCCUUUUUCCGCUGGACGAACUUGGCGCCCCGGCCUUCGGGCGGUUAUUUUUUGGGUGCGGCUGUGCCCGCGGCCUAUUUUUGGCACAUGGAGGCGCCUCGCAAAUUCUCGUGCCAUUCUGACUCCGGCGGACGAAGGCGGCCAGCCCCACCCCCCAAGGCUAUAGCCCACCCGUUUUUGUGGGCUUUUUCUGCUGGACGAACUUGGCGCCCCAGCCUUCGGGCGGUUAUUUUUGGGUGCGGCGGUGCCCGCGGCCUAUUUUUGGCGCACGGAGGCACCUCGCAAAGUCUCGCGCCAUUCCGAGUCCGGCGGACGAAUUUGGCCAGCCCCACCCCCCAAGGCUAUAGCCCACCCGUUUUUGUGCCCAUUUUCCGCUAGACGCACUUGGCGCCCCGGCCUUUGGGCAUUUAUUUUUGGGCGCAGCUUUGUCCGCGGCCUAUUUUUGGCACACGGAGGCCCCUCGCAAAGUCUCACGGCAUUCCGAGUCCGGCGGACGAAGUGGGCCGGCCCCACCCCCCAAGUCUAUAGCCCACCCGUUUUUGUGGCCUUUUUCCGCUGGACGAACUUGGCGCCCCGGCCUUCGGGCAGUUAUAUUUAGGUACGGCUUUGUCCGCGGCCUAUUUUUGGUACCCGGAGGCCCCUCGCAAAGUCUCGCGGCAUUCCGAGUCCGGCGGACAAAGUUGGCCAGCCCCACCCCCCAAGGCUAUAGCCCACCCGUUUUUGUGGACUUUUUCCGCUGGACGAACUUGGCGCCCCGGCCUUCGGGCGGUUAUUUUUGGGAGCUGCUUUGCCCGCAGCCUAUUUUUGGCACACGGAGGCCCCUCGCAAAGUCUCGCGGCAUUCCGAGUCCGGCGGACGAAGUUGGCCAGCCCCACCCCCCAAGGCUACAGCCCACCCGUUUUUGUGGCCUUUUUCCGCUGGACCAACUUGGCGCCCCGGACUUCGGGUGGUUAUUUUUGGGCGCGGCUUUGUCCGUUGACUAUUUUUGGCACACGGAGGGCCCUCGCAAAGUCUCACGGCAUUCCGAGUCCGGCGGACGAAGUUGGCCAGCCCCACCCCCCAAGGCUAUAGCCCACCCGUUUUUGUAGCCUUUUUCCGCUGGACGAACUUGGCGCCCCGGCCUUCGGGCGGUUAUUUUUGGGCGCGGCUUUGCCCGCGGCCUAUUUUUGGCACACGGAGGCCCCUUGUAAAGUCUCGCACCAUUCCGAGUCCGGCGGACGAAGUUGGCCAGCCCCACCCCCGAAGGCUAUAGCCCACCCGUUUUUGUGGCCUUUUUCCGCUGGACGAACUUGGCGCCCCGGGCUUCGGGCGGUUAUUUUUGGGUGCGGCUGUGCCCGCAGCCUAUUUUUGGCACACGAAGGUGCCUCGCAAAGACUCACGCCAUUCCGAGUCCGGCGGACGAAGUCGGCCAGCCACACCCCCCAAGGCUAUAGCCCACCCGUUUUUGUGGCCUUUUUCCGCUGGACGAACUUGGCGCCCCGGCCUUCGGGGGGUUAUUUUUGGGCGCGGCUGUGCCCGCGGCCUAUUUUUGGCACACGUUGGCGCCUCGCAAAGUCUCGCACCAUUCCAAGUCCGGCGGACGAAGUUGGCCAGCCCCACCCCACAAGGCUAUAGCCCACCCGUUUUUGUGGCCUUUUUCCACUGGACGAACUUAGCGCCCCGGCCUUCGGGCGGUUUUUUUUGGGCGUGGCUGUGCCCGCGGCCUAUUUUUGGCACACGGAGGCGCCUCACAAAGUCUCGCGCCAUUCCCAGUCCGGCGGACGAAGUUGGCCAGCCCCACCCCCCAAGGCUAUAGCCCACCCGUUUUUGUGGGCUUUUUCCGCUGGACGAACUUGGUGCCCCGGCCUUCAGCCGGUUAUUUUUGGGUGCGGCUGUACCCCCGGCCUAUUUUUAGCACAUGGAGGCACCUCGCAAAGUCUCGCGCCAUUCUGAGUCCAGCGGACGAAGUUGGCCAGCCCCACCCCCCAAGACUAUAGCCCACCCGUUUUUGUGGCCUUUUUCCGCUGGACGAACUUGGCGCCCCGGCCUUCGGCCGGUUAUUUUUGGGGACGGCUGUACCCGUGGCCUAUUUUUAGCACAUGGAGGCACCUUGCAAAGUCUCACGCCAUUCCGAGUCCGGUGGACGAAGUUGGCCAGCCCCACCCCCCAAGGCUAUAGCCCACCCGUUUUUGUGGCCUUUUUCCGCUAGACGAACUUGGCGCCCGGCCUUCGGGCAGAUAUUUUUGGACGCGGCUGUGCCCGUGGCCUAUUUUUGGCUCACGGAUGCACCAUGCAAACUCUGGCGGCAUUACGAGUCCGGCGGACGAAGUUGGCCAGCCCCAGCCCCCAAGGCUAUAGCCCACCCGUUUUUGUGGCCUUUUUCCGCUGGACAAACUUGGCGGCCCGGCCUUCGGGCAGUUAUUUUUGGGCGAGGCUUUCUCCGCGGCCUAUUUUUGGCACACGGAGGUGCCUCGCAAAGUCUCGUGCCAUUCCGAGUCCGGCGGACGAAGUUGGCCAGCCCCACCCCCCAAGGCUAUAGCCCACCAGUUUUUGUGGGCUUUUUCCGCUAGACAAACUUGGCGCCCCGGCCAACGGGCGGUUAUUUUUGGGCGCGGCUGUGCCCGCGGCCUAUUUUUGGCACACGUUGGUGCCUCACAAAGUCUUGCACCAUUCCAAGUCCGGCGGACGAAGUUGGCCAGCCCCACCCCACAAGGCUAUAGCCCACCCGUUUUUGUGGCCUUUUUCCGCUGGACGAACUUAGCGCCCCGGCCUUCGGGCGGUUUUUUUUGGGCGUGGCUGUGCCCGCGGCCUAUUUUUGGCACACGGAGGCGCCUCACAAAGUCUCGCGCCAUUUCCAGUCCGGCGGACAAAGUUGGCCAGCCCCACCCCCCAAGGCUAUAGCCCACCCGUUUUUGUGGCCUUUUACCGCUGGACGAACUUGGCGCCGCGGACUUCGGGCGGUUAUUUUUGGGCGUGGCCUAUUUUUGGCACACGGAGGAGCCUCGCAAAGUCUCGCGCCAUUCCGAGUCCGGCGGACGAAGUUGGCCAGCCCCACCCCCCAAGGCUAUAGCUCACCCAUUUCUGUGGGCUUUUUCCGCUGGACAAACAUGGCGCCCCGGCCUUCUGGCUGUUAUUUUUAGGCGCGGCUGUGCCCGUGGCCUAUUUUUGGCACACGGAGGCACCUCGCAAAGUUUCGCGCCAUUCCAAGUCCAGCGGAUAAAGUUGGCCAGCCCCACCCCCCAAGGCUAUAGCCCACCCGUUUUUGUGGCCUUUUUCCGCUGGACGAACUUGGCGCCCCGGCCUUCGGGAGGUUAUUUUUGGGAGCGGCUGUGUCCGCGGCCUAUUUUUGGCACACGGAGGCGCCUCGCAAAGUCUCGCACCAUUCCGAGUCUGGCGGACGAAGUGGGCCAGCCCCACCCGCCAAGGCUAUAGCCCACCCGUUUUUAUGGCCUUUUUCCGCUGGACGAACUUGGCGCCCCGGCCUUUGGGCAGUUAUUUUUGGACGUGGCUGUGCCCGCGGCCUAUUUUUGGCACACGGAGGUGCCUCGCAAAGUCUCGCGCCAUUCCGAGUCCGGCGGACAAAGUUGGCCAGCCCUACCCCCCAAGGGUAUAGCCCACCCGUUUUUGUGGCCUUUUUACGCAGGACGAACUUGGCGCCCCGGCCUUCGAGCAGUUAUUUUUGGGCGCGGCAGUGCCCGCGGCCUAUUUUUGGCACACGGAGGGGCCUCGUAAAGUGUCACGGCAUUCCGAGUCCGGCGGACGAAGUUGGCCAGCCCCACCCCCCAAGGCUGUAGCCCUCCCGUUUUUGUGGGCUUUUUCCGCUGGACGAACUUGGCGCCCCGGCCUUCAGGCGGUUAUUUUUGGGCGCGGCUGUGCCCGCGGCCUAUUUUUUGUACACGGAGGUGCCUCUCAAAUUUUCGCGCCAUUCCGAGUCCAGCGGAUGAAGUUGGCCAGCCCCACCCCCCAAGGCUAUAGCCCACCCAUUUUUGGGGCCUUUUUUCGCUGGACGAACUUGGCGCCCCGGCCUUCGGGCGGUUAUUUUUGGGCGCGGCUGUGCCCGCAGCCUAUUUUUGGCCCAUUGAGGCGCCUCGCAAAGUCUCGCGCCAUUCCGAGUCCGGCGGACUAAGUUGGCCAGCCCCACCCCCCAAGGCUAUAGCCCACCCGUUUUUGUGGGCUUUUUCCGCUGGACGAACUUCGCGCCCCGGCCUUCGGGCGGUUAUUUUUGGGCGCGGCUGUGCCGCGGCUUAUUUUUGGCACACGGAAGCCGCUCGCAAAGUCUCGCGCCAUUCCGAGUUUGGCGGACGAAGUUGGCCAGCCCCACCCCCCAAGGCUAUAGCCCACCCGUUUUUGUGGCCUUUUUACGCAGGACGAACUUGGCGCCCCAGCCUUCGCGCGGUUAUUUUUGGGAGCGGCUGUGCCCACGGCCUAUUUUUAGCACACGGAGGGGCCUCGCAAAGUCUCGUGCCAUUCCGAGUCCGGCGGACGAAGUGGGCCAGCCCCACCCCCCAAGGCUAUAGCCCACCCGUUUUUGUGGCCUUUUUCCGCUGGACGAACUUGGCGCCCCGGCCUUCGAGCAGUUAUUUUUGUGCGCGGCUGUGCCCGCGGCCUAUUUUUGGCACACGGAAGGGCCUCGCAAAGUCUCGCGCCAUUCCUAGUCCGGCAGACGAAGUCAGCCGGCCCCACCCCCCAAGGAUAUAGCCCACCCGUUUUUGUGGGCUUUUUCCGCUGGACGAACUUGGGGCCCCGGCCUUCGGGCAGUUAUUUUUGGGCGCGGCUGUGUCCGCGGCCUAUUUUUGGCACACGGAGGUGCCUCGCAAAGUCUCGCGCCAUUCCGAGUCCGGCGGACGAAGUUGGCCAGCCCCACCCCCCAAGGCUAUAGCCCACCCGUUUUUGUGGCCUUUUUCCGCUGGACGAACUUGGCGCCCCGGCCUUCGGGCGGUUAUUUUUAGGCGCAGCUGUGCCCGCGGCCUAUUUUUGGCACACGGAGUCGCCUCGCAAAGUAUCGCGCGAAUCCGAGUCCGGCGGACGAGGUGGGCCAGCCCCACCGCCCAAGGGUAUAUCCCACCCGUUUUUGUGGCCUUUUUUCGCUGGNNNNNNNNNNNNNNNNNNNNNNNNNNNNNNNNNNNNNNNNNNNNNNNNNNNNNNNNNNNNNNNNNNNNNNNNNNNNNNNNNNNNNNNNNNNNNNNNNNNNNNNNNNNNNNNNNNNNNNNNNNNNNNNNNNNNNNNNNNNNNNNNNNNNAGCCCACCCGUUUUUAUGGCCUUUUUCGGCUGGACGAACUUGGUGUCCCGGCCUUCGGGCGGUUAUUUUUGGGCGUGGCUGUGCCCGCGGCAUAUUUUUGGCACACGGAGUCGCCUCGCAAAGUAUCGCGCCAUUCCGAGUCCGGCGGACGAAGUUGGCCAGCCCCACCCCCCAAGGCUAUCGCCCACCCGUUUUUGUGGGCUUUUUCCGCUGGACGAACUUGGCGCCCCGGCCUUCGGGCGGUUAGUUUUGGGCGCGGCUGUGCCUGCGGCCUAUUUUUGGCACACGGAGGCACCUCGCAAUGUUUCGCGCCAUUCCGAGACCAGCAGAUGAAGUUGGCCAGCCCCACCCCCCAAGGCUAUAGCCCACCCGUUUUUGGGGCCUUUUUCCGCUGGACGAACUUGGCGCCCCCGCCUUCGGGCGGUUAUGUUUGGGCGCGGCUGUGCCCGCGGCCUAUUUUUGGCACACGGAGGCACCUCGCAAAGUCUCGCGCCAUUCCGAGUGCGGCGGACGAAGUUGGCCAGCCCCACCCCCCAAGGCUAUAGCCCACCCGUUUUUGUGGCCUUUUUCCGCUGGACGAACUUGGCGCGCCGGCCUUCGGGCGGUUAUUUUUGGGCGUGGCUGUGCCCGCGGCCUAUUUUUGGCACAAGGAGUUGCCUCGCAAAGUAUCGCGCCAAUCCGAGUCCGGUGGACGAAGUUGGCCAGUCCCACCCCCCAAGGCUAUCGCCCACCCGUUUUUGUGGGCUUCUUCCGCUGGACGAACUUGGCGCCCCGGCCUUCGGGGGGUUAUUUUUGGGCACGGCUGUGCCUGCGGCCUAUUUUUGGCACACGGAGGCACCUCGCAAUGUUUCGCGCCAUUCCGAGCCCAGCAGAUGAAGUUGGCCAGCCCCACCCCCCAAGGCUAUAGCCCACCCGUUUUUGGGGCCUUUUUCCGCUGGACGAACUUGGCGCCCCUGCCUUCGGGAGGUUAUUUUUGGGCGCGGCUCUGCCCGCGGCCUGAUUUUGGCACACGGAGGCACCUCGCAAAGUCUCGCGCCAUUCCGAGUGCGGCGGACGAAGUUGGCCAGCCCCACCCCCCAAGGCUAUAGCCCACCCGUUUUUGUGGGAUUUUCCGCUGGACGAACUUGGCGCCCCGGCAUUCGGGCGGUUAUUUUUCCGCGCGGCUGUGCCCGCGGCCUAUUUUUGGCAAAUGGAGGCGCCUCGCAAAGUUUCGCGCCAUUCCGAGGGCAGCGGAUGAAGUUGGCCAGCCCCACCCCCCAAGGCUAUAGCCCACCCGUUUUUGGGGCCUUUUUCCGCUGGACGAACUUGGCACCGCGGCCUACGGGCGGUUAUUUUUGGGCGCGGCUGUGCCCGCAGCCUAUUUUUGGCACACGGAGGUGUCUCGCAAAGUCUCGCGGCAUUCCGAGUCCGUCGGACGAAGUUGGCCAGUCCCACCCCCCAAGGCUAUAGCCCACCCGUUUUUGUGGCCUUUUUCCGCUGGACGAACUCGGCGCCCCGGCCUUCGCGCGGUUAAUUUUGGGCGCGGCUCUUCCCGCGGCCUAUUUUUGGCACACGGAGUCGCCUCGCAAAGGUUCGCGCCAAUCCGAGUCCGGCGGACGAAGUUGGUCAGCCCCACCCCCCAAGGCUAUAGCCCACCCGUUUUUGUGGGCUUUUUCCGCUGGACGAACGUGGCGCCCCGGCCUUCGGCCGGUUAUUUUUGGUCGCGGCUGUGCCCGCGGCCUAUUUUUGGUACACGGAGACGCCUCGCAAAGUCUCGCGGCAUUCCGAGUCCGGCGGACGAAGUUGGCCAGCCCCACCCCCCAAGGCUAUAGCCCACCCGUUUUUGUGGCCUUUUUCCGCUGGACGAACUCGGCGCCCCGGCCUUCGGGAGGUUAAUUUUGGGCGCGGCUCUUCCCGCGGCCUAUUUUUGGCACACGGAGUCGCCUCGCAAAGGUUCGCGCCAAUCCGAGUCCGGCGGACGAAGUUGGUCAGCCCCACCCCCCAAGGCUAUAGCCCACCCGUUUUUGUGGGCUUUUUCAGCUGGACGAACGUGGCGCCCCGGCCUUCGGGGGGUUAUUUUUGGGCGCGGCUGUGCCCGCGGCCUAUUUUUGGCACACGUUGGUGCCUCGCAAAGUCUUGCACCAUUCCAAGUCCGGCGGACGAAGUUGGCCAGCCCCACCCCACAAGGCUAUAGCCCACCCGUUUUUGUGGCCUUUUUCCGCUGGACGAACUUAGCGCCCCGGCCUUCGGGCGGUUUUUUUUGGACGUGGCUGUGCCCGCGGCCUAUUUUUGGCACACGGAGGCGCCUCACAAAGUCUCGCGCCAUUCCCAGUCCGGCGGACGAAGUUGGCCAGCCCCACCCCCCAAGGCUAUAGCCCACCCGUUUUUGUGGGCUUUUUCCGCUGGACGAACUUGGUGCCCCGGCCUUCAGCCGGUUAUUUUUGGGUGCGGCUGUACCCCCGGCCUAUUUUUAGCACAUGGAGGCACCUCGCAAAGUCUCGCGCCAUUCCGAGUCCGGCGGACGAAGUUGGCCAGCCCCACCCUCCAAGACUAUAGCGCACCCGUUUUUGUGGCCUUUUUCCGCUGGACGAACUUAGCGCCCCGGCCUUCGGGGGGUUAUUUUUGGACGCGGCUGUGCCCGCGGCCUAUUUUUGGCACACGGAGGCACCUCGCAAAUUCUCGCGCCAUUCCGAGUCCGGCGGACGAAGUUGGCCAGCCCCACCCCCAAGGCUAUAGCCCACCCGUUUUUGUGGCCUUUUUCCGUUGGACGAACAUGGAGCCCCGGCCUUCGGGUGGUUAUUUUUGAGCGCGGCUGAGCCCGCUGCCUAUUCUUGGCACACGGAGCUGCCUCGCAAAAUUUCACGCCAUUCCGAGUCCAGCGGAUGAAGUUGGCUAGCCCCACCCCCCAAGGCUAUAGCCCACCCGUUUUUGGGGCCUUUUUCCGCUGGACGAACUUGGCGCCCCGGCCUUCGACCGGUUAUUUUUGGGCGCGGCUGUGCCCGCGGCCUAUUUUUGGCACACAGAGUCACCUCGCAAAGUAUCGCGCCAAUCCGAGUCCGGCGGACGAAGUUGGCCCGCCCCACCCCCAAGGCUAUAGCCCACCCGUUUUUGUGGCCUUUUCCCGCAGGACGAACUUGGUGGCCCGGCCUUCGGGCGGUUAAAUUUGGGCGCGGCUCUUCCCGCGGCUUAUUUUUGGCACACGGAGUCGCCUCGCAAAGUAUCGCGCCAAUCUGAGUCCGGCGGACGAAGUCGGCCGGCCCCACCCCCCAAGGCUAUAGCCCACCCGUUUUUGUGGGCUUUUUCCGCUGGACGAACUAGGCGCCCCGGCCUUCGGGCGGUUAUUUUUGGGCGCGGCUUUGCCCGCGGCCUAUGUUUGGUACACGGACACGCCUCGCAAAGUAUCACGCCAAUCCGAGUCCGGCGGACGAAGUUGGCCAGCCCCACCCCCCAAGGCUAUAGCCCACCCGUUUUUGGGGCCUUUUUCCGCUGGAAGAACUUGGCGCCCCGGCCUUCGGGCUGUUAUUUUUGGGCGCGGCUGUGACCGCGGCCUAUUUUUGGCACACGGAGGCGCCUCACAAAGUCUCGCGCCAUUCCGAGUCCGGCGGACGAAGUCGGCCAGCCCCACCCCCAAGGCUAUAGCCCACCCGUUUUUGGGGCCUUUUUCCGCUGGACGAACUUGGCGCCCCGGCCUUCGGGCGGUUAUUUUUGGGCGCGGCUGUUCCCGCGGCCUAUUUUUGGCACACGGAGGUGCCUCGCAAUGUUUUACGCCAUUCCGAGUCCAGCGGAUGAAGUUGGCCAGCCCCACCCCCCAAGGCUAUAGCCCACCCGUUUUUGGGGCCUUUUUCCGCUGGACGAACUUGGCACCCCGGCCUUCAGGCGGUUAUUUUUGGGCACGGCUGUGCCCGCGGCGUAUUUUUUGCACACGGAGGUGCCUUGCAAAGUCUCGCGCCAUUCCGAGUCCGGAGGACGAAGUUGGCCAGCCCCACCCCCCAAGGCUAUAGCCCACCCGUUUUUGGGGUCUUUUUCCGCUGGACGAACUUGGCGCCCCGGCCUUCGGGCGAUUAUUUUUGGGCGCGGCUUUGCCCGCGGCCUAUUUUUGGCACACGGAGUCGCCUCGCAAAGUAUCGCGCCAAUCCGAGUCCGGCGGACGAAGUCGGCCAGCCCCACCCCCAAGGCUAUAGCCCACCCGUUUUUGGGGCCUUUUUCCGCUGGACGAACUUGGCGCCCCGGCCUUCGGGCCGUUAUUUUUGGGCGCGGCUGUGCCCGCGGCCUAUUUUUGGCACACGGAGGUGCCUCACAAAGUCUCACGCCAUUCCGAGUCCGGCGGACGAAGUUGGCCAGCCCCACCCCCAAGGCUAUAGCCCACCAGUUUUUGGGGCUUUUUUCCGCUGGACGAACUUGGCGUCCCGGCCUUCGGGCGAUUAUUUUUGGGCGCGGCUGUGCCCGCGGCCAAUGUUUGGCACACGGAGGUGCCUCACAAAGACUCGCGCCAUUCCGAGUCUGGCGGACGAAGUUUGCCAGCCCCACCGCCCAAGGCUAUAGCCCACCCGUUUUUGUGGCCUUUUUCCGCUGGACGAACUUGGUGCCCCGGCCUUCGGGCGGUUAUUUUUGGGUGCGGCUGUUCCCACGGCCUAUUUUUGGCACACAGAGGUGAAUCACAAAGUCUCACGCCAUUCCGAGUCCGGCGGACGAAGUUGGCCAGCCCCACCCCCCAAGGCUAUAGAGCACCCGUUUUUGUGUGCUUUUUCCGCUGGACGAACUUGGCGCACCGGCCUUCGGGCGGUUAUUUUUGGGCGCGGCUGUUCCCCUGGCCUAUUUUUGGCACACGGAGUCGCCUCGCAAAAUUUCACGACAUUCCGAGUCCAGCGGAUGAAGUUGGCCAGCCCCACCCCCCAAGGCUAUAGCCCACCCGUUUUUGGGGCCUUUUUCCGCUGGACGAACUUGGCACCCCGGCCUUUGGACGGUUAUUUUUGCGCGCGCCUGUGCCCGCGGCAUAUUUUUGGCACAUGGAGGUGCCUCGCAAAGUCUCGCGCCAUUCCGAGUCCAGCGAAUGAAGUUGGCCAGCCCCACCCCCCAAGGCUAUAGCCCACCCGUUUUUGGGGUCUUUUUCCGCUGGACGAACUUGGCGCCCCGGCCUUCGGGCGGUUAUUUUUGGGCGCGGCUGUGUCCGCGGUGUAUUUUUGGCACACGGAGGUGCCUCACAAAGUCUCGCGCCAUUCCGCAUCCGGCGGACGAAGUUGGCCAGCCCCACCCCCCAAGGCUAUAGCCCACCCGUUUUUGUGGCCUUUUUCCGCUGGACGAACUUGGCGCCCCGGCCUUCGGACGGUUAUUUUUGGGCGCGGCUUUGCCCGCAGCCUAUUUUUUGCACACGGAGGCCCCUCGCAAAGUCUCGCGGCAUUCCGAGUCCGGCAGACGAAGUCGGCCAGCCCCACCCCCCAAGGCUAUAGCCCACCCGUUUUUGUGGCCUUUUUCCGCUGGACGAACUUGGCGCCCCGGCCUUCGGGCAGUUAUUUUUGGGCACGGCUGCGCCCACGGCCUAUUUUUGGCACACGGAGGGACCUCGUAAAGUCUCGCGCCAUUCCGAGUCCGGCGGACGAAGUUGGCCAGCCCCACCCCCCAAGCCUAUAGCCCACCCAUUUUUGUGGCCUUUUUCCGCUGGAUGAACUUGGCGCCCCAGCCUUCGGGCGGUUAUUUUUGGGCGCGGCGGUGCCCGCGGCCUAUUUUUAGCACACGGAGGUGCCUCGAAAAGUCUCGCGCCAUUCCGAGUCCGGCGGACGAAGUUGGCCAGCCCCACCCCCCAAGGCUAUAGCCCACCCGUUUUUGUGGCCUUUUUCCGCUGGAUGAACUUUGCGCCCCGGCCUUCGGGCGGUUAAUUUUGGGCGCGGCGGUGUCCGCGGCCUAUUUUUGGCAAACGGAGGCCCCUCGCAAGGUCUCGCGGCAUUCCGAGUCCGGCAGACGAAGUUGGCCAGCCCCACCCCCCAAGGCUAUAGCCCACCCGUUUUUGUGGCCUUUUUCCGCUGGACGAACUUGGCGCCCCGGCCUUUGGCCGGUUAUUUUUGGGUGCGGCUGUGCCCUCGGCUUAUUUUUGGCACACGGAGGUGCCUCGCAAUGUCUCGCGCCAUUCCGAGUCCGGCGGACGAAGUUGGCCAGCCCCACCCCCCAAGCCUAUAGCCCACCCGUUUUUGUGGCCUUUUUCCGGUGGACGAACUUGGCGCCCCGGCCUUCGGGCGGUUAUUUUUGGGCGCGGCUGUGCCCGCGGCCUAUUUUUGGCACUCGGAGGUGCCACGAAAAGUCUCGCGCCAUUCCGAGUCCGGCGGACGAAGUUGGCCAGCCCCACCCCCCAAAGCUAUAGCCCACCCGUUUUUGUGGCCUUUUUCCGCUGGAUGAACUUGGCGCCCCGGCCUUCGGGCGGUUAUUUUUGGGCGUGGCUUUGCCCACCACCUAUUUUUGGCACACGGAGGCCCCUCGUAAAGUCUCGCGCCAUUCCGAGUCCGGCGGACGAAGUUGGCCAGCCCCACCCCCUAAGCCUAUAGCCCACCCGUUUUUGUGGCCUUUUUCCGCUGGACGAACUUGGCGCCCCGGCCUUCCGGCGGUUAUUUUUGGGCGCGGCUGUGCCCACGGCCUAUUUUUAGCACACGGAGGUGCCUUGAAAAGUAUCGCGCCAUUCCGAGUCCGGCGGACGAAGUUGGCCAUCCCCACCCCCCAAGGCAAUAGCCCACCCUUUUUUGUGGCCUUUUUCCGCUGGACGAACUUGGCGCCCCGCCCUUCUGGCGGUUAUUUUUGGACGCGGCUGUGCCCGCAGCCUAUUUGUGGCACACGGAGGUGCCUCACAAAGUCUCGCGCAAUUCCGAGUCCGGCGGACGAAGUUGGUCAGCGCCACCCCCCAAGGCUAUAGCCCACCAGUUUUUGUGGGCUUUUUCCGCUAGACAAACUUGGCGCCCCGGCCAACGGGCGGUUAUUUUUGGGCGCGGCUGUGCCCGCGGCCUAUUUUUGGCACACGUUGGCGCCUCGCAAAGUCUUGCACCAUUCCAAGUCCGGCGGACGAAGUUGGCCAGCCCCACCCCACAAGGCUAUAGCCCACCCGUUUUUGUGGCCUUUUUCCGCGGACGAACUGGCGCCCCGGCCUUNNNNNNNNNNNNNNNNNNNNNNNNNNNNNNNNNNNNNNNNNNNNNNNNNNNNNNNNNNNNNNNNNNNNNNNNNNNNNNNNNNNNNNNNNNNNNNNNNNNNNNNNNNNNNNNNNNNNNNNNNNNNNNNNNNNNNNNNNNNNNNNNNNNNNNNNNNNNNNNNNNNNNNNNNNNNNNNNNNNNNNNNNNNNNNNNNNNNNNNNNNNNNNNNNNNNNNNNNNNNNNNNNNNNNNNNNNNNNNNNNNNNNNNNNNNNNNNNNNNNNNNNNNNNNNNNNNNNNNNNNNNNNNNNNCCCACCCCCCAAGAUAUUAGCCCACCCGUUUUUGUGGCCUUUUCCGCUGGAUGAACUUGGCGCCAUGGCUUUGGGGCAGUUAUUUUUGGGCGCGGCUGUGCCCGCGGCCUAUUUUGGCACACGGAGGCGCCUCGCAAUGCCUCGCGCCAUUCCGAGUCCGGCGGACGAAGUUGGCCAGCCCCACCCCCCAAGGCUAUAGCCCACCCGUUUUUGUGGGCUUUUUCCGCUGGACGAACUUGGCGCCCCGGCCUUCGGGAGGUUAUUUUUGGACGCGGCUGUGCCCGCAGCCUAUUUUUGGCACACGGAGGUGCCUCGCAAUGUCUCGCGCCAUUUCGAGUCCGGCGGACGUAGUUGGCCAGCCCCACACCCCAAGGCUAUAGCCCACCUGUUUUUGUGGGCUUUUUCCGCUGGACGAACAUGGCGCCCCGGCCUUCGGGUGGUUAUUUUUGGACGCGGCUGUGCCCGCGGCCUAUUUUUGGCACACGGAGGCACCUCGCAAGGUCUCACGCCAUUCCGAGUCCGGCGGACGAAGUUGGCCAGCCCCACCCCCCAAGGCUAUAGCCCACCCGUUUUUGUGGCCUUUUUCCGCUGGACGAACUUGGCGCCCCGGCCUUCGGGCGGUUAUUUUUGGGCGCGGCUUUGCCUGCGGCCUAUUUUGGGCACACGGAGGCGCCUCGCAAAGUCUCGCGCCAUUCCGAGUCCGACGGACGAAGUUGGCCAGCCCCACCCCCCAAGGCUAUAGCCCACCCGUUUUUGUGGACUUUUUCCGCUGGACGAACUUGGCGCCCCGGCCUUCGGGAGGUUAUUUUUGGACGCGGCUGUGCCCGCAGCCUAUUUUUGGCACACGGAGGUGCCUCACAAAGUCUCGCGCCAUUCCGAGUCCGGCGGACGUAGUUGGCCAGCCCCACACCCCAAGGCUAUAGCCCACCCGUUUUUGUGGGCUUUUUCCGCUGGACGAACUUGGCUCCCCAGCCUUCGGGAGGUUAUUUUGGACGCGGCUGUGCCCGCAGCCUAUUUUUGGCACACGGAGGUGCCUCACAAAGUCUCGCGCAAUUCCGAGUCCGGCGGACGAAGUUGGCCAGCCCCACCCCCCAAGGCUAUAGCCCACCCGUUUUUGUGGGCUUUUUCCGCUGGACGAACUUGGCGCCCCGGCAUUCGGGAGGUUAUUUUUGGACACGGCUGUGCCCGCAGCCUAUUUGUGGCACACGGAGGUGCCUCGCAAAGUCUCGCGCCAUUCCGAGUCCGGCGGACGUAGUUGGCCAGCCCCAUCCCCCAAGGCUAUAGCCCACCCGUUUUUGUGGGCUUUUUCCGCUGGACGAACUUGGCGCCCCGGCCUUCGGGUGGUUAUUUUUGGACGCGGCUGUGCCCGCGGCCUAUUUUUGGCACACGGAGGUGCCUCGCAAGGUCUCACGCCAUUCCGAGUCCGGCGGACGAAGUCGGCCAGCCCCACCCCCCAAGGCUAUAGCCCACCCGUUUUUGUGGCCUUUUUCCGCUGGACGAACUUGGCGCCCCGGCCUUCGGGCGGUUAUUUUUAGGUGCAGCUGUGCCCGCGGCCUAUUUUUGGCACACGGAGUCGCCUCGCAAAGUAUCGCGCCAAUCCGAGUCCGGCGGACGAGGUGGGCCAGCCCCACCGCCCAAGGGUAUAUCCCACCCGUUUUUGUGGCCUUUUUUCGCUGGACGAACUUGGCGCCCCAACCUUCGGGCGGUUAUUUUUGGGCGCGGCUGUUGCCGUGGCCUAUUUUUGGCACACGGAGGUGCCUCGCAAAGUCUCGCGCCAUUCCGAGUCCGGCGGACGAAGUUGGCAAGCACCACCCCCCACGGCUAUAGCCCACCCGUUUUUAUGGCCUUUUUCCGCUGGACGAACUUGGUGUCCCGGCCUUCGGGCGGUUAUUUUUGGGCGCAACUGUGCCCGCGGCGUAUUUUUGGCACACGUAGGGACCUCGGAAAGUCUCGCGCCAUUCCGAGUCCGGCGGACGAAGUUGGCCAGCCCCACCCCCCAAGCCUAUAGCCCACCCGUUUUUGUGGGUUUUUUCCGCGGGACGAACUUGGCGCCCCGGCCUUCGGGCGGUUAGUUUUGGGCGCGGCUGUGCCCGCGGCCUAUUUUUGGCACACGGAGGCACCUCGCAAAGGCUCGCGCAAUUCCGAGCCCGGCGGACUAAGUUGGCCAGCCCCACCCCCCAAGGCUAUAGCCCACCCGUUUUUGUGGGCUUUUUCUGCUGGACGAACUUGGGCGCCCCGGCCUUCGGGCGGGUUAUGUUUGGGCGCGGCUGUGCCCGCGGCCUAUUUUUUGGCACACGGAGCGCCUCGCAAGUCUCGCGCCAUUCGAGUCGGCGGACGAGUGGGCCAGCCCCACCCCCCAGCUAUAGCCCACCCGUUUUUGNNNNNNNNNNNNNNNNNNNNNNNNNNNNNNNNNNNNNNNNNNNNNNNNNNNNNNNNNNNNNNNNNNNNNNNNNNNNNNNNNNNNNNNNNNNNNNNNNNNNNNNNNNNNNNNNNNNNNNNNNNNNNNNNNNNNNNNNNNNNNNNNNNNNNNNNNNNNNNNNNNNNNNNNNNNNNNNNNNNNNNNNNNNNNNNNNNNNNNNNNNNNNNNNNNNNNNNNNNNNNNNNNNNNNNNNNNNNNNNNNNNNNNNNNNNNNNNNNNNNNNNNNNNNNNNNNNNNNNNNNNNNNNNNNNNNNNNNNNNNNNNNNNNNNNNNNNNNNNNNNNNNNNNNNNNNNNNNNNNNNNNNNNNNNNNNNNNNNNNNNNNNNNNNNNNNNNNNNNNNNNNNNNNNNNNNNNNNNNNNNNNNNNNNNNNNNNNNNNNNNNNNNNNNNNNNNNNNNNNNNNNNNNNNNNNNNNNNNNNNNNNNNNNNNNNNNNNNNNNNNNNNNNNNNNNNNNNNNNNNNNNNNNNNNNNNNNNNNNNNNNNNNNNNNNNNNNNNNNNNNNNNNNNNNNNNNNNNNNNNNNNNNNNNNNNNNNNNNNNNNNNNNNNNNNNNNNNNNNNNNNNNNNNNNNNNNNNNNNNNNNNNNNNNNNNNNNNNNNNNNNNNNNNNNNNNNNNNNNNNNNNNNNNNNNNNNNNNNNNNNNNNNNNNNNNNNNNNNNNNNNNNNNNNNNNNNNNNNNNNNNNNNNNNNNNNNNNNNNNNNNNNNNNNNNNNNNNNNNNNNNNNNNNNNNNNNNNNNNNNNNNNNNNNNNNNNNNNNNNNNNNNNNNNNNNNNNNNNNNNNNNNNNNAAAGUCUCGCGCCAUUCCGAGUCCGGCGGACGAGGUGGGCCAGCCCCACCCCCCAAGGCUAUAGCCCACCCGUUUUUGUGGCCUUUUUCCGCUGGACGAACUUGGCGCGCCGGCCUUCGGGCGGUUAUUUUUGGGCGUGGCUGUGCCCGCGGCCUAUUUUUGGCACAAGGAGUUGCCUCGCAAAGUAUCGCGCCAAUCCGAGUCCGGUGGACGAAGUUGGCCAGUCCCACCCCCCAAGGCUAUCGCCCACCCGUUUUUGUGGGCUUUUUCCGCUGGACGAACUUGGCGCCCCGGCCUUCGGGGGGUUAUUUUUGGGCACGGCUGUGCCUGCGGCCUAUUUUUGGCACAUGGAGGCACCUCGCAAUGUUUCGCGCCAUUCCGAGCCCAGCAGAUGAAGUUGGCCAGCCCCACCCCCCAAGGCUAUAGCCCACCCGUUUUUGGGGCCUUUUUCCGCUGGACGAACUUGGCGCCCCUGCCUUCGGGAGGUUAUUUUUGGGCGCGGCUGUGCCCGCGGCCUGAUUUUGGCACACGGAGGCACCUCGCAAAGUCUCGCGCCAUUCCGAGUGCGGCGGACGAAGUUGGCCAGCCCCACCCCCCAAGGCUAUAGCCCACCCGUUUUUGUGGGAUUUUCCGCUGGACGAACUUGGCGCCCCGGCAUUCGGGCGGUUAUUUUUCCGCGCGGCUGUGCCCGCGGCCUAUUUUUGGCAAAUGGAGGCGCCUCGCAAAGUUUCGCGCCAUUCCGAGGGCAGCGGAUGAAGUUGGCCAGCCCCACCCCCCAAGGCUAUAGCCCACCCGUUUUUGGGGCCUUUUCCCGCUGGACGAACUUGGCACCGCGGCCUACGGGCGGUUAUUUUUGGGCGCGGCUGUGCCCGCAGCCUAUUUUUGGCACACGGAAGUGUCUCGCAAAGUCUCGCGGCAUUCCGAGUCCGUCGGACGAAGUUGGCCAGCCCCACCCCCCAAGGCUAUAGCCCACCCGUUUUUGUGGCCUUUUUCCGCUGGACGAACUUGGCGCCCCGGCCUUCGGGCGGUUAUUUUUGGGCGCGGCUUUGCCCAUGGCCUAUUUUUGGCACACGGAAGCGCCUCGCAAAGUCUCGCGCCAUUCCGAGUCCGGCGGACGAAGUUGGCCAGCCCCACCCCCCAAGGCUAUAGCCCACCCGUUUUUGUGGGCUUUUUCCGCUUGACGAACUUGGCGCCCCGGCCUUCGGGCGGUUAUUUUUGGCCGCGGCUGUGCACGCGUCCUAAUUUUGGCACAUGGAGGUGCCUCGCAAAGUCUCACGCCAUUCCGAGUCCGGCGGACGAAGUGGGCCAGCCCCACCCGCCAAGGCUAUAGCCCACCCGUUUUUGUGGGCUUUUUCCGCUGGACGAACUUGGCGCCCCGGCCUUCGGGCGGUUAUUUUUGGGCGCGGCUGUGCCCGCGGCCUAUUUUUGGCACACGGAGUCGCCUCGCAAAGUAUCGCGCCAUUCCGAGUCCGGCGGACGAGGUGGGCCAGCCCCACCCCCCAAGGCUAUAGCCCACCCGUUUUUGUGGCCUUUUUCCGCUGGACGAACUUGGCGCCCCGGCCUUCGGGCGGUUAUUUUUGGGCGUGGCUGUGCCCGCGGCCUAUUUUUGGCACACGGAGUCGCCUCGCAAAGUAUCGCGCCAAUCCGAGUCCGGUGGACGAAGUUGGCCAGUCCCACCCCCCAAGGCUAUCGCCCACCCGUUUUUGUGGGCUUUUUCCGCUGGACGAACGUGGCGCCCCGGCCUUCGGGGGGUUAUUUUUGGGCACGGCUGUGCCUGCGGCCUAUUUUUGGCACACGGAGGCACCUCGCAAUGUUUCGCGCCAUUCCGAGACCAGCAGAUGAAGUUGGCCAGCCCCACCCCCCAAGGCUAUAGCCCACCCGUUUUUGGGGCCUUUUUCCGCUGGACGAACUUGGCGCCCCCGCCUUCGGGCAGUUAUUUUUGGGCGCGGCUGUGCCCGCGGCCUAUUUUUGGCACAUGGAGGCACCUCGCAAAGUCUCGCGCCAUUCCGAGUGCGGCGGACGAAGUUGGCCAGCCCCACCCCCCAAGGCUAUAGNNNNNNNNNNNNNNNNNNNNNNNNNNNNNNNNNNNNNNNNNNNNNNNNNNNNNNNNNNNNNNNNNNNNNNNNNNNNNNNNNNNNNNNNNNNNNNNNNNNNUUUUUGGCACAUGGAGGCACUCGCAAAGUCUCGCGCCAUUCCGAGUGGCGGCGGACGAAGUUGGCCAGCCCCACCCCCCAAGGCUAUAGCCCACCGUUUUGUGGGAUUUUCCGCUGGACGAACUUGGCGCCCCGGCAUUCGGGCGGUUAUUUUUCCGCGCGGCUGUGCCCGCGGCUAUUUUUGGCAAAUGGAGGCGUCUCGCAAAGUCUCGCGGCAUUCCGAGUCCGGCGGACGAAGUUGGCCAGCCCCACCCCCCAAGGCUAUAGCCCACCCGUUUUUGUGGCGUUUUUCCGCUGGACGAACUCGGCGCCCCGGCCUUCGCGAGGUUAAUUUUGGGCGCGGCUCUUCCCGCGGCCUAUUUUUGGCACACGGAGUCGCCUCGCAAAGGUUCGCGCCAAUCCGAGUCCGGCGGACGAAGUUGGUCAGCCCCACCCCACAAGGCUAUAGCCCACCCGUUUUUGUGGGCUUUUUCCGCUGGACGAACGUGGCGCCCCGGCCUUCGGGGGGUUAUUUUUGGGCGCGGCUGUGCCCGCGGCCUAUUUUUGGCACACGUUGGUGCCUCGCAAAGUCUUGCACCAUUCCAAGUCCGGCGGACGAAGUUGGCCAGCCCCACCCCACAAGGCUAUAGCCCACCCGUUUUGGUGGCCUUUUUCCGCUGGACGAACUUAGCGCCCCGGCCUUCGGGCGGUUUUUUUUGGGCGUGGCUGUGCCCGCGGCCUAUUUUUGGCACACGGAGGCGCCUCACAAAGUCUCGCGCCAUUCCCAGUCCGGCGGACGAAGUUGGCCAGCCCCACCCCCCAAGGCUAUAGCCCACCCGUUUUUGUGGGCUUUUUCCGCUGGACGAACUUGGUGCCCCGGCCUUCAGCCGGUUAUUUUUGGGUGCGGCUGUACCCCCGGCCUAUUUUUAGCACAUGGAGGCACCUCGCAAAGACUCGCGCCAUUCCGAGUCCGGCGGACGAAGUUGGCCAGCCCCACCCCCCAAGACUAUAGCGCACCCGUUUUUGUGGCCUUUUUCCGCUGGACAAACUUAGCGCCCCGGCCUUCGGGGCGUUAUUUUUGGGCGCGGCUGUGCCCGCGGCCUAUUUUUGGCACACGGAGGCACCUCGCAAAUUCUCGCGCCAUUCCGAGUCCGGCGGACGAAGUUGGCCAGCCCCACCCCCAAGGCUAUAGCCCACCCGUUUUUGUGGCCUUUUUCCGUUGGACGAACAUGGAGCCCCGGCCUUCGGGAGGUUAUUUUUGGACGCGGCUGUGCCCGUAGCCUAUUUUUGGCACACGGAGGUGCCUCGCAAAGUCUCGCGCCAUUCCGAGUCCGGCGGACGUAGUUGGCCAGCCCCACCCCCCAAGGCUAUAGCCCACCCGUUUUUGUGGGCUUUUUCCGCUGGACGAACUUGGCGCCCCGGCCUUCGGGUGGUUAUUUUUGGAUGCGGCUGUGCCCGUGGCCUAUUUUUGGCACACGGAGGCGCCUCGCAAGGUCUCACGCCAUUCCGAGUCCGGCGGACGAAGUGGGCCAGCCCCACACCN